rnacentral:rRNA from 1 species
GAUGAACGCUGGCGGCGUGCCUAAUACAUGCAAGUCGAGCGAACAGACGAGGAGCUUGCUCCUCUGACGUUAGCGGCGGACGGGUGAGUAACACGUGGAUAACCUACCUAUAAGACUGGGAUAACUUCGGGAAACCGGAGCUAAUACCGGAUAAUAUAUUGAACCGCAUGGUUCAAUAGUGAAAGACGGUUUUGCUGUCACUUAUAGAUGGAUCCGCGCCGCAUUAGCUAGUUGGUAAGGUAACGGCUUACCAAGGCAACGAUGCGUAGCCGACCUGAGAGGGUGAUCGGGCACACUGGCACUGAGACACGGUCCAGACUCCUACGGGAGGCAGCAGUAGGGAAUCUGCCGCAAUGGGCGAAAGCUUGACGGAGCAACGCCGCGUGAGUGAUGAAGGUCUUCGGAUCGUAAAACUCUGUUAUUAGGGAAGAACAAAUGUGUAAGUAACUAUGCACGUCUUGACGGUACCUAAUCAGAAAGCCACGGCUAACUACGUG